rnacentral:rRNA from 1 species
CUCAGGAUGAACGCUAGCGACAGGCUUAACACAUGCAAGUCGAGGGGCAGCAUAAAAGUAGCAAUACUUUGGUGGCGACCGGCGCACGGGGUGAGUAACACGUGGGAAUCUACCCAUCAGUACGGAAUAACAUUUGGAAACAAAUGCUAAUACCGUAUAUUCUCUACGGAGGAAAGAUUUAUCGCUGAUGGAUGAGCCCGCGUUAGAUUAGGUAGUUGGUAGGGUAAUGGCCUACCAAGCCGACGAUCUAUAGCUGGUCUGAGAGGAUGAUCAGCCACACUGGGACUGAGACACGGCCCAGACUCCUACGGGAGGCAGCAGUGGGGAAUAUUGGACAAUGGGCGAAAGCCUGAUCCAGCAAUACCGCGUGAGUGAUGAAGGCCUUAGGGUUGUAAAGCUCUUUUAGUAGGGAAGAUAAUGACGGUACCUACAGAAAAAGCCCCGGCUAACUCCGUG